GAGAAAAAUGUUAAACAGGACUUGCAAGAGCAUUCCAAGUAAUAUAACAAUUUAUAAAGCCAUUCAAGAGAUGCGUGAUCUCAAAAGAAAGCAUUAACAUCACCUCUGUUGUUGUAGUUAUUGUUUUCACUGAUACCUAAGCUCAUUGCACUGUGAGUAGUUGUAUCAGUCAGCCUCUGGAAGGACUGCUGCAACCUCUGUGGCAUUUUAAUGCAAAACAGCCUAUGGAAUUGCAAGCGCAAUUCCUUCAAGCUUGUCCAUGAGGAAAAUAAGUAGACGUCACUUACUGCCCGUGUUGCCGAGGUUCUGCAGGCAUGGGAUUUCCAGGGAGGAAUUGCUGAAACAGUGACAUUACCAGACAUACAAUAUGAAGUUUUAUGAAAGAGCUGGUGAUAAAAAUCCAACUUUUUGUGCUAAAAAAAGGCAUGGAGGAUUAAAAGGUAUCUUAUAAUAAAUGUAUUUCCAUGAAGC